UGGUGUCGAUCGACACCACACAUAUGUUGAUCGACACCCUUAUUUCGGCUGAGAGAAUUUCUGUCUUCUGCCAAGUCUUUGAGAAGCCUUGAAGUUUUCCUUAUUUGCAAAGUAGUCCCUACACGUUUUU
rnacentral:sRNA from 1 species